rnacentral:rRNA from 1 species
AGGGAAUCUUGCGCAAUGGGCGAAAGCCUGACGCAGCAACGCCGCGUGCGGGAUGAAGGCCUUCGGGUUGUAAACCGCUUUCAGCAGGGACGAAAAUGACGGUACCUGCAGAAGAAGCCCCGGCCAACUACGUGCCAGCAGCCGCGGUAACACGUAGGGGGCGAGCGUUGUCCGGAUUUAUUGGGCGUAAAGAGCUCGUAGGCGGUUUCGUAAGUCGGGUGUGAAAACUCUAGGCUCAACCUGGAGACGCCACCCGAUACUGCGAUGACUAGAGUCCGGUAGGGGAGCGUGGAAUUCCUGGUGUAGCGGUGAAAUGCGCAGAUAUCAGGAGGAACACCAACGGCGAAGGCAGCGCUCUGGGCCGGAACUGACGCUGAGGAGCGAAAGCGUGGGGAGCGAAC